rnacentral:rRNA from 1 species
UCUAAGAAGACUGCCUCGGAUAACGGGAGGAAGGUGGGGAUGACGUCAAGUCCGCAUGCUCCUUACGUCUAGGGCUACACACGCCUACAAUGGGGUCGACAAUGGGAUGCAAUAUCGCAAGAUGGAGCCAAUCCCCAAACGGCCUCUCAGUUCGGAUUGCAGGCUGCAACUCGCCUGCAUGAAGUUGGAGUUGCUAGUAACCGCAGGUCAGCUAUACUGCGGUGAAUACGUUCCCGGGGAUU